AGAAUGCGGAAAUGCGGUUUUGGCGGAGGCACUUAGAAGGCGAACGUUUAUAUAAAGCAUAUACGGUUGUAUUUUUUUAGAAAAUGACCGAUCGUUUCGCUAGAUAAGACACUUAUUCCUCGUCUGGUAUCGUUUGAAGCCCUUUGAAGCUGCACUGAAACUGUAAUUUUGACCUUCAACCGUUUGGAGGCCACUGAAGUGCACUAUAAGGAGAAUAAUUCUGGAAUGUUUUCAUCAAAAACCUUCAUUUCUUUUCGACUAAAGAAAGAAGGACAUGGACAUCUUGGAUGACAUGGGGGAGAAAAUGGAGACGAAAGGGAAUGCUCAUUUGGUUGCCGGCCAAUUCUGAUAUUGAUCCUCAUGCGUUGGUGGAAUACCCUCCUGACACUUGACUGAUCUUGCUAUUACCUCACCAAUAAGUGGAUGUAAGGAACAUAAGACUCGUGGCCUGCGAGGAAAGAGGAUUUCGUGCUUACGGAGGGUGGUUUAUGAGAUGGAUGAGGUUAAAAAAGUCAUUCACAAAGUCACAGAGAUCCUUCUCAGACAGUAAUUAUCAACCUCACAGAGAAAGAGCUCAGGUCAUUGCGCAAAGGAAAUGAAACGCCAGUAAGCUCAUGAAUAUUACAGAAGAAACUGAAAUAAGUUAUUUCUUUUGCAUUUGGUGGUAUUAAGUUAAAACAGGUCAACAAAAGAACAUCUGAACCAAGACUAGGAUUUACACCAUUAGCCUUUUUGCACAGUUGAAGUAUGUUGUAUUUAAUUGGACUGCAGCUUUACUAUACACAAAAAGUUGUUUAAUAGACAGGAAACAAAGUGAAAAGAGGCUUUACAUUAAGAAUUGGAGGCCUUGCGCUGCUAGAAGGCCAUUCAAGAUGUUUACUAAUGUACUGUUUGUAAAGGAAAUGAGCACUAAUGAGAAAGAGGAUGAACAGUGGGACCAGGAGGAGAUAAUUGGAACCAGAACUACAAAUCAUUCUACAAACAAUCUAAACAAACUUUCUUGUUCGAGUGUCAGGGUCACGUUCAUUUGCGAAUUCAUCUGUUCUUUUGCUGAACUGCUCUAGAAUUCAUUUGAUGCAUCAAUGAAUAAAACUCAAUUGGAAUGCCAGGGAAAAUAAAUAAAUAAAUAAAAUAAAUCACAAGGAGCAAAAAUCUGAUUGUUUGGAAUAUUCAACAAAGUUGUUUGUAGCUUGAAAAGCAACCCCAAUCCAAACUACAUCCACAUGUGGUUUGAAUGAAAUGCAGAUUUUUGAGCUACCCUAAUCCUUACUGUAUGUUCUGGACAUGCCCUGUCCUUUCUUUACUACUGUUGCACAGAUUUUAUUUGAAUUAAGGCGAGACAACUAAUUUCUCGCCUUAAGGUCAACCUAGGUCAACCCAACACAAUAUUUACUAACUGUAUUCCCCUUUCAAUUUCCAUUUCUGUAUUCUUUAUCUUUGUAUACAUCUUAAAAAAAAAGUUUAUAAAUAAAUCAUGAAUAAAAAAUUA